rnacentral:misc_RNA from 1 species
GAUGAAGAACGCAGCGAAAUGCGAUAAGUAAUGUGAAUUGCAGAAUUCAGUGAAUCAUCGAAUCUUUGAACGCACAUUGCGCCCGUCAGUAAUCUGGCGGGCAUGCCUGUUCGAGCGUCAUUACGCCCCUCAAGUCCCCUGUGGACUUGGUGUUGGGGAUCGGCGAGGCUGGUUUUCCAGCACAGCCGUCCCUUAAAUUAAUUGGCGGUCUCGCCGUGGCCCUCCUCUGCGCAGUAGUAAAACACUCGCAACAGGAGCCCGGCGCGGUCCACUGCCGUAAAACCCCCCAACUUUUUAUAGUUGACCUCGAAUCAGGUAGGACUACCCGCUGAACUUAAGCAUAUCAAUAAGCGGAGGA